AAAUCACUGAAAGAGUGCGAUGUGUGCAUUGCAUUGCGACGGGUUACAUCACUGGUCGUAACAUGAUGUAACCCAACGCAGCAUGAUGUAAACGUCGUGAUGCAUUGGAGAUUUA
rnacentral:pre_miRNA from 1 species